GCUGGGCAUGGUGGCGCGUGCCUGUAAUCCCAGCUACUCAGGAGGCGGAGGCAGGAGAAUUGCCUGAACCCAGGAGGCGGAGGUUGCAGUGAGCCGAGAUCGUGCCAUUGCACUCCAGCCUGGGCAACAAAAGCGAAACUCCGUCUCAAAAAAAAAAAAAAAAAAAAAAAAAUUUCUUUUUUGAGACAGAGUCUCAAUCUGUAACCCUGGCUGGAGUGCAGUGGCAGGAUCUCAGCCCUCUGCAAUCUCCACCUCCCUGGCUAGAGCGAUUCUCCUGCCUCAG
rnacentral:SRP_RNA from 1 species